AGGAAUGCUUUAUUGCCCGGAGUGGGGGCUCCUUCUUAAAGCAAAAAUACGUCACAGUUUAAACAUACAGUAUACAUUCACCAAUUGGUUAACAGAGAAAGGGGGCCUCUUGUUUAAACCCCCCUACAGAAUGUAGUGUCAUCAUUACACACUUUUGGAUACACGAUGGGAGGGGGAGUGAGUGGUAUCUAUCAGUUCUAAACCAAUGAUCCUCCAUUUAGCUAUAUAUGGCAUAUAGCUGUUAACUGGCACAAAGGGGAGGCUAGCAGGAUGUGAGGAAUUUACAUAGUAAACAGCAGCUGACCACAUUGUAGGGGGGGGGGAAGGGAACAUUUACUCUAGAAGCCAGUUUUAACAUAGUGAACAGAGAAUAAAUAGACAUUAGUAAAUAGCCAUUUUAUUUUAAUUCAUCUGUCCAUAACA
rnacentral:lncRNA from 1 species